rnacentral:rRNA from 1 species
AACGAACGCUGGCGGCGUGGACAAGACAUGCAAGUCGAACGGGGGGUUUGAUGUAGCAAUACAUUGGGCUUCCAGUGGCGAACGGGUGAGUAACACGUGAGCAACGUGCCCGGAAGAGCGGGAUAGCCCAGGGAAACUUGGAUUAAUACCGCAUGUGGCCCGGCAGGUAUCCUGCUAGGGCCAAACGGUGGGGACCGCAAGGCCUGCCGCUUCCGGAUCGGCUCGCGCCCUAUCAGCUUGUUGGCGGGGUAACAGCCCACCAAGGCCACGACGGGUACCUGGUCUUAGAGGACGAGCAGGCACACGGGGACUGAGACACGGCCCAGACACCUACGGGUGGCAGCAGUCGAGGAUCAUGCACAAUGGGGGAAACCCUGAUGCUGCGACGCCGCGUGGAGGAUGAAGGUCUUCGGAUUGUAAACUCCUGUCAUCAGCGAGUAGGCCGCGACCGGUGAACAGCCGGCCGUGGUGACAGUAGCUGAAGAGGAAGGGACGGCUAACUUCGUGCCAGCAGCCGCCGUAAUAC